rfam:Schistosoma haematobium scaffold2309_9, whole genome shotgun sequence.
AGCCUUUUGAAUCCGUACAGAAAUUUCGUCAGACACCAAUCCAAUAGGGCUGAUCAGACUUUCAAGAUAAGUGAAGUU